ACACAGGCCCUUCUUAGGGCCAAACAAAAUUGCAUUCUCAGCUUG
rfam:Ixodes scapularis strain Wikel colony gcontig_1108378567218, whole genome shotgun sequence.